UCCUCGUGGCGGCGACGUAUCUUUCAAGUGUGUGCCCUAUCAACUUUCGAUGGUAGGAUAGUGGCCUACCAUGGUGGCAACGGGUAACGGGGAAUUAGGGUUCGAUUCCGGAGAGGGAGCCUGAGAAACGGCUACCACAUCCAAGGAAGGCAGCAGGCGCGCAAAUUACCCAAUCCCGAUACGGGGAGGUAGUGACAAUAAAUACUGAUACGGGGCUCUUUUG
rnacentral:rRNA from 1 species